UCUCUCACCAAUCUAAAUCUAAAAUCACCAUACUUCCUCUCAUGUUCUCUUUAAUAAAUUCAAACUUCAAUAAAUAGUGCAGGUCUUGCCGUGCGGUAUUCUCCAGACACUUCGUUUGAACUUUGAGACAUCAGGAAUUGCUGACGAAGGUGCAAUGGAUAAGAAUUGCUGACCUAAGAUUACCGGUCGCCGGCGGGGAGUGAGAAACCAGAGGAGAAGAAGGUGGUGGUGUCUCACCGGAAUGACCACGGCGAGGAUUCUGGUUCCCGUGGCGGCGUCUUGGCAAGCGCAGUAGCUGCUGUCACAGACGCUGUUCAAUCCGUGAAGGAUGCUUUUUCCGGCGGUGGCAAAACCACCACCAAAUGACUGAAAUGAAUGAAGAGUUUUUUAUUUUUUAAUCCGUCUUUGGAAUCUUUUUCGGAAGAGUUCCUCAAAUAAAAUAAUUCGCGUUUCAUUUGUC